UCUCAUGUGGUCAGUGCCCACAGAGCAAGCAUAAGCCCACGUGCCACCACCUGCCUGGCUCUCCUCUGUGUCUUAGCAGUCUCGUUAGUGGUGAUUCACCACAGCUCAGAAUUUAAGACGCAGGGAAUCCAAGGUUGGUUGCUACUUAUCAAGAAGAAGACACAUCACCCAAAGGUCUCCUGAGUCCUGGGCCAGCCGAUGUGCAGCUCCACCCUGAAGGUGACCAGUUUCUU